GCGGCCUGGCUGCUCAGCGCCCGGGAGCCCCAGCUCCCGGAGUGGGCCGCCGGCGGAGCGAGGGCGGCGGCGGGCUGUGGGCGCGAGCCGGGAGGGCGGCACGGGCCGGGCCGCGGAGUCGGACGCGAGGGGGCGGCCGCGGCGCCCAGCCCGAGGCCUGGCGCAGAGCAGCGGGAGGCGGCGCAGGCCGCGGCGGGGCCUGCAGCAGCCCGCCGACCCCGCGAGGCGCCGAAGCAGACUCCGGGGCGGCCUAGCCUCAGGCUCGGCAGCUGGGCACGACCGGGGGCUGCCCCUCGGCCUCUUACCUGGGGGGAAGACAGCCGGGAUCCCGGGGGCCCGGGCCGGACCGCGGAGAUGCCCCAAACUGACACGGCCGCCAUCUUGGAGACAAAGUAUUUAAGAAACAACAAGUGAGAGGUGAUCAGUUCCUGGGGUUAUCCAGCACUUCCAAGUCCCCAUGAAUGUGCUCCCGACAGCGUGAGAAAGUUGACGGCCUUGGGUCUCCUAGUCCAACAGUAAGUUAGGACACAGUCCUGAUCUUUUCAUCAGAAUAGCGUUUUUGAUGUGAUGCCUUUUUUCCCUUUUAAUUGAUGAAACCAUCUGGUUUCUUCUCCAUAGAUGAAGACUCUGAUUCUAACUUUGGUAUCAUAGUUAAAAUUCCUUUACAAGAUUUGCUACUUGAUUAACUAAUAGACCAAAUUGUGUGAACAGAUUUAAAUAUUUGUCCACUAAAGCAACUUUCACAGUCACUGUUUAAUUUAGUAGGAAUAUUCUAAAUGGGUAUAACAAUCUGAAAAGAAUUGAUUUUGUAUAGUUAUGUAAUGACUAUCUAAAAAGAAAAGGUUUGUAAUUCAAUCAUAAAAUUGUAUUUAAUAUCUCUACCUUGUUUCUAUAUGUGUGUUAUGUACAUAUAUGUGUAUUUAAAAAAACACCUCUAGAAUUUUUCAAUUAAAUUUGAACUCUACUUACUCUAGAGAUACCCAAAGAUUUGUGUCAACCCUUUCUGUCCAAAUUAUACAGAAGGUAUCAAUCUCUAAUUACAUUCUUGAAGUUUUAUACCUUAAGUCCUGAUGUUUCGUGUACUUAAAAUAUCCUAUAAAAUAAUUAGCCAGGAUUUUAAAAUUAAUUGAAUGGUAUUUGCAUUUUAUUAGUUCAGGGGGGAAAAUCAAUACAAUGGCUCCUUCCAAAGUUCACCUUGCAAGUAUUUAAAUGUGAGUGAGAUGGCUCAUAGAGUACAAGUAACUACAAAUAGAGGGAAACACAGGCAAUCUAGCUUUAAAUUAUGCAAGUUUUGGGUAUUUUAGAUACAUGUGUCUCAUCUGCUGCCUUCACUCAGGCCACACCGUGUUCUCGAUAACUUAAGUUUAGAUCCAGUAGCACUGCCACGUUACAUCAGACCUUAUGAGUGAGCCUUCCCAGCUAGGGGAGACCUCAUACUAUUUAAUAAACAACAUCAUCCACACGCGCACAAAUGUGAUCCUGGGUGAACAGAAAACUGACUGAGAACUGAAAAGAAGCCAUGUCUGCAUUGACCGGAUGACUGAGUAGAGGUGCAGAACAAUGGAGAGACCAGGAUGCUCCAGGCCAGAGGCGAAUUAGCUGAGCCGGAACUAGCUGUAGCCCUGGAGCAGCCAUUCCUUGCCUACCUCCGUGUCAGAACUAAUACCCUGCUAAUAAAUAGGGGAAACCCUUUGUAACUUAUUAACAGGGCUACUAACUUCCAUCAGACCCAUCGAAAGCUUUUCCCGUCCUGCUGUGACUGCCUCUGAUACACCCAUCAACGUGUUUUAGACUUGCCUUGAUAUAUGGCUUUCUGUGUUGUGUAAAACUGUAAAACUUCACCCAACUGCUCCCAACUGUUGGAGGGAGAAAUUUGAGGUGACCUGAAUCUGUACUUCUAGACCAUAGGUCACUCAGAAUGGCUCCAGAAUUAACUCUCAUUCCCUUUAAGUUGAAAGCUGUGGUUUUGGGCUGGAGAGAUAGCUCAGUGGUUAGAGCACUGACUGCUCUUCCAGAGGCCCUGAGUUCAAAUCCCAGCAACCACAUGGUGGCUCACAACCAUCUGUAAUGAGAUCAGAUGGCCUCUUUCGGUGUGUGUGAAGGCAGCUACAGUAUACUUAUAUAAAACAAAUAAAUUAAACUUUAAAAAAAUAAAUAUAAAAUAAAAAAAGAAAGCUGUGGUUUUGCAUUGGUGGUAGUAUAUCUCCAUAUACUCCCCCUCCUUUUUGGAAACCUUGUUGUGUGUAUGUGUGUAUGUGUCUGUGUGUGUGUAGAAUGUAUAUAUUCCUGAAAUAUUGCUUGUCUGUGCUAGUGAGAGGAAAAUGUGUUUUGGUUGGUUCUGUAUGAUACUUUAGUGAUUGGCUUUCUCAGCUCCGAUCCUAAAAUCACCAUCUU
ensembl:lncRNA